rnacentral:rRNA from 1 species
GACGAACGCUGGCGGCGUGCCUAAUACAUGCAAGUAGAACGCUGAAGGAGGAGCUUGCUUCUCCGGAUGAGUUGCGAACGGGUGAGUAACGCGUAGGUAACCUGCCUGGUAGCGGGGGAUAACUAUUGGAAACGAUAGCUAAUACCGCAUAAGAGUAGAUGUCGCAUGACAUUUGCUUAAAGGUGCAACUGCACCACUACCAGAUGGACCUGCGUUGUAUUAGCUAGUUGGUGAGGUAACGGCUCACCAAGGCAACGAUACAUAGCCGACCUGAGAGGGUGAUCGGCCACACUGGGACUGAGACACGGCCCAGACUCCUACGGGAGGCAGCAGUAGGGAAUCUUCGGCAAUGGACGGAAGUCUGACCGAGCAACGCCGCGUGAGUGAAGAAGGUUUUCGGAUCGUAAAGCUCUGUUGUAAGAGAAGAACGAGUGUGAGAGUGGAAAGUUCACACUGUGACGGUAUCUUACCAGAAAGGGACGGCUAACUACGUG